rnacentral:rRNA from 1 species
AACGAACGCUGGCGGCAGGCCUAACACAUGCAAGUCGAGCGAGAUCUUCGGAUCUAGCGGCGGACGGGUGAGUAACGCGUGGGAAUAUGCCUCUUGGUACAGAAUAGCCUCGGGAAACUGAGAGUAAUACCGUAUGUGCCCUUCGGGGGAAAGAUUUAUCGCCAAGAGAUUAGCCCACGUUGGAUUAGGUAGUUGGUGGGGUAAUGGCCUACCAAGCCUACGAUCCAUAGCUGGUUUGAGAGGAUGAUCAGCCACACUGGGACUGAGACACGGCCCAGACUCCUACGGGAGGCAGCAGUGGGGAAUCUUAGACAAUGGGGGCAAACCCUGAUCUAGCCAUGCCCGCGUGAGUG